CGGAGGAGCAUGUGGUUUAAUUCGAUGAUACGCGAGGAACCUUACCUCGGGCGUCGAAACGUAAGAUGACUGUAGGUGAAAGCUUACAUCUCUUCGGAGCAUUUUACGAGGUGCUGCAUGGUUGUCGUCAGCUCGUGCCGUGAGGUGUCGGGUUAAGUCCCAUAACGAGCGCAACCCCUACCUUUAGUUGCCAUCAGGUUAAGCUGGGGACUCUAAAGGAACUGCCUACGCAAGUAGUGAGGAAGGCGGGGAUGACGUCAAAUCAGCACGGCCCUUACGUCCAGGGCUACACACGUGCUACAAUGGCCGAUACAGAGGGCAGCUACCUGGUGACAGGAUGCAAAUCUCCAAAGUCGGUCUCAGUUCGGAUCGGAGUCUGCAACCCGACUCCGUGAAGUUGGAUUCGCUAGUAAUCGCGCAUCAGCCAUGGCGCGGUGAAUACGUUCCCGGGCCUU
rnacentral:rRNA from 1 species